rnacentral:rRNA from 1 species
AGAAUCAACGCUGGCGGCGUGCCUAACACAUGCAAGUCGAACGAGAAAGUGGAGCAAUCCACGAGUAAAGUGGCGCACGGGUGAGUAACACGUGACUAACCUGCCCUUGAGUGGGGGAUAACCUAGGGAAACCUGGGCUAAUACCGCAUAAUACCUUCGGGUCAAAGGAGCAAUUCGCUUAAGGAGGGGUCGCGGCCGAUUAGUUAGUUGGCGGGGUAAUGGCCCACCAAGACUAUGAUCGGUAUCCGGCCUGAGAGGGCGCACGGACACACUGGAACUGAAACACGGUCCAGACUCCUACGGGAGGCAGCAGUGGGGAAUUUGCGCAAUGGGGGAAACCCUGACGCAGCAACGCCGCGUGGAGGAUGAAGUCCCUUGGGAUGUAAACUCCUUUCGAUCGGGACGAUUAUGACGGUACCGGAAGAAGAAGCACCGGCUAACUCUGUGCCAGCAGCCGC